UAGGGAGACCUACCCAAUCAGAUAUCGAAAACAAAAAUAGAGAUACUGAAGUGGUCAAACCUAGGUCGGUCACAGGAAUAGUUGAAGCUUUCAAACUAUGGUUUGGUUCGGAUUGGGGCUAUUAGCUCAGGUGGUUAGAGCGCACCCCUGAUAAGGGUGAGGUCCCUGGUUCGAGUCCAGGAUGGCCCACCUGAAGGAAGUAUGGAGUGAGAAGUAUGAAGUAUGAAAGAGUUUAUCAAUUUCAGAAUUCAUAAUUCAGACUUCACAAUUCUGAUGGGGGUUUAGCUCAGUUGGUAGAGCGCCUGCUUUGCAAGCAGGAUGUCAGCGGUUCGAGUCCGCUAACCUCCACCAAAAAAGCAAAAAAGGGAAAACUCAGCAACUAACACUGGUUAGACUGCUGGGAGAAUACCAGCCAGAACCUUGAAAACUGCAUAGAAACGCGAAAAAAGUAGGUAGUUGUUUGUCAAUAGAGAACAGACAACCAGAUACACCAAUGAAAUGU
rnacentral:tRNA from 1 species